rnacentral:rRNA from 1 species
CAGCAGCCGCGGGAAUACGUAGGUGGCAAGCGUUGUCCGGAAUUAUUGGGCGUAAAGGGCUCGCGGGCGGUUUCUUAAGUCUGAUGUGAAAGCCCCCGGCUCAACCGGGGAGGGUCAUUGGAAACUGGGAAACUUGAGUGCAGAAGAGGAGAGUGGAAUUCCACGUGUAGCGGUGAAAUGCGUAGAGAUGUGGAGGAACACCAGUGGCGAAGGCGACUCUCUGGUCUGUAACUGACGCUGAGGAGCGAAAGCGUGGGGAGCGAACAGGAUUAGAUACCCCCGUAGUCCCUGUCUCUUAUAC